rnacentral:ncRNA from 1 species
AAAGUUGCUGCAGUUAAAAAGCCUCGUAGUUGGAUCUUGGGAUCGAGCUGAGCGGUCCGCCCGCGAGGGCGAGCUACCGCCGUGUCACCAGCCCCGCCUCGCGACCCCCCCCCCGGGGGCCUGUAAGUAUGAGUGUCCCGGCGGGGCCCGGCGUUUACUUGGAAAGGAAGUAGAGUGUCAAAGCAGGCCGGGCGCCGCGGCGGAAUACCUCCCACCAGAAAAUGAAUAGGCACCUCCGGUUCUAUUUUGUUGGUUUCGGAAAACGGGGCCUGAUUAAGAGGGACGGGCGGGGGCAUUCGUAUUGGUCCGCCUAGAGGUGAAUUCUUGGACCCGGCGCAAGGACGAACUAAAGCGAAACAGCAUUUGCCAAGAAUGUUUUCAUUAAUCAAGAAGAAAGUCGGAGGUUCGAAGACGAUCAGAUACCCGUCGUAGUCGACCAUAACACGAUGCGCUCGCGAUCCGGCGGCGUUUCCCAUGACCCGCGGCAGCUCCCGGGAAACCAAGUCUUUGGGUUCCC